AGUGUAGGCGGUCAGGUAAGUCAGGGGUGAAAUCCCUCGGCUCAACUGAGGAAUUGCCUUUGAUACUGCUUGACUUGAGGACAGGAGAGGAAAGUGGAAUUCCCGGUGUAGCGGUGGAAUGCGUAGAUAUCGGGAGGAACACCAGAGGCGAAGGCGGCUUUCUGGACUGUUCCUGACGCUGAGACUCGAAAGCUAGGGGAGCAAACA
rnacentral:rRNA from 1 species